CAUAAGAAUCCAUUAUAAAGCAAUUCAAGGCUAUAAACUACACACAAAAAUUACAAGAUAAGCUAUAAGAUAACGAUAUUCUUAUAUCUAUUACCAAUUACAAACAUAUCAAUAAUGUAUCAACUUUUUUGGCAGUAGUCACUAUAUAUGUGACAUAUUCAUCCUCAUACUUAGCUCACUAUACUAUAUCAUAAUGAAAGAAAGUAAAUUAUACAUUAAUAUCAUCAUAGUUUUAAAUUGUAGUCUGCAAUAUGUUUAUAAUCAAGGAGAAGAUUUUGUUGAGGAAGUAGGGGGUGAGCCAGGGCUAUGAGGAGGUGGGAAUAGUGGAGGAAAAGGAAAUGGUAAAAUUGAUUUUGGUGGUGGCGGCGGCGGUGGUGAUGGAGUGAUACCUGGUACUACUAUUGGUGGAAAGAGAGAGAAAGGUGGUGGACUUGAUGGUGGAGGCUGAAAUGGAUUUGGAAGGAGUGGUGGAGGACUUGAAGGAGGAGGUUGAAAUGGAUUAGGUAGAAAUGGUGGUGGACUUGGUGGUUGAAAUGGAUUUGGAAUCAAAGGUGGACUAGGUGGUUGAAAAGGAUUAGGAAUCAAUGGUGGUGGUGUAAAAGGGUUAGGAAUCAAAGGUGGUUGAAAUGGAUUAGGAACCAAAGGUGGAUUCAAAGGGUUUGGAGGAAAAAAGAAAAAAUCUUCAACUUCAUUUUUCUUAGGGUUUUGAGUACUAUGCUUAUUUUGGUCACAAAAUUUUGGCUUUUUUAUUGGCUUGAAUGAGAAAAAUCCAGCUGAAAAAAUGUGUUCAUCUUGCAACUUUUUCUUUAGGGUUAGUGAAAAUGAAGUGGAAGUUGAAGCAAUAGCACAAUUUGGUUCAUUGCUACUUAACAACUUGAAGUUACACCCUUUGAUUCUCUUCACAUUUUUUCUCACUAAGAAAGGUAGCUUUACUUUGAAUUCUCCUUGUUCAUUAGUCUUCACUUCUUUGUAGAAUCUUUGUUUUGUUUUUCCUAGUUUGCAUUCAACAGCUAUUGAUGCACCUAUACAUUUUGGACAAGGUUUUAGAAAUUUUUAUAACAUGAUAUAAAAUAUAGAUCAGAUACAUUAACUAUUACUUAUAAUAGUGAUUGAUUGGAGGGUGAAUUACCUGAAAUGAAGCGGCUUUCUUGAGAGAAAGUUUGUUGAAAACAUGUGUCACAAAAGACAGUGCCAACUACAGAAGGCGAAGGAUGAAGCUUCUUGUUGACAUGUUUUGCUUCUGAAAGAUUUGUACCAAAUGUGAGAGUGAGAAACAAAAUUGUAAGAAACCAAGACAUUUUGAUAAGGUUUGAGUUUGGAUGCAAAUGAAAAAUUGUAAUGUGUUUCUAAAUAAAUAAUGCUUAGCAUUGAAAAUAGAAUAAGAAUAGAAAAAACAAGCAUACCUACUAGAUAAGUUUAUGAACUAGAGUUUGUUUUACUAGGAAAAAUCCAAAAAGUUUCACUAGGUAUAUUUUGGAAGUUUGUUCUUAGUUGAUGUGAAUGAAUGGACUAUAAUUGAAUCACUGUUGAGUCACGAGACACACUGAAGAACCACAUACUCUAUGAGUACAAGACACUUAUCAACUAUGUUAGAAUGACAUGUGAAAUAUAUUGUAUAGUUAUGCAUGUGAAUAAAUAUUAGUACUAUUAAUGCAUAAAACUAUCAUAGUUUUUGGAAGUUUGUGUUUGGUUUGGGAGUAUGGGUUGAUAUUGUUGAAAAAUUAGUGGGAAGAAGAUAAUAAUGUUGUUGGAAGUGAUUUAUGAUUUCAUAAGUCAUACUAAAUACAAAAUAUUUUGAGAUUGUUCACUAUGGACAAAUAUGUGAUCAAGUUGUUUGGUGAGAUUAGGAGUGUCUUGGAUAAACUGAUAAAUUAACGCCCUUACAAUAACUUGAAAAUUUUCUCCUUGCAUUUUUUGUUAAAAAUUAUAAUGACACUUUCAUAAUCAAGGAUUUUUAAAUAAAAAUAAUAAGCAUUUGGAAUGAGAAAAAAAAAACAUAAAUAGAAAAAAAAAACACAUUGUUUUGAAUUAUAUAACUUUGAUUGAUAAUUUUUUUGAGAUAAUUCUUACAUAUGUGUACUCAAUAAUAGUCAUUAGUUUAAUUUUAUUGAUUAUCUAUAACGAUAAUCCUUCGUUAUAGGAAUUUCAGUUAUUUCGUUAGUGUAUAUAAAGAGUGUUAAUUCUCUUUGAAUCGAUACGAAACAAUUUUUUUUCUUUAUUAUGUGUCAAGCUAUAUGCACAUUAAUAUGGUAUCACAGAUAGAAAUAUUUUUUGUUACUCUCUCUUUCCCCGUCACUUGGCUUUUUUUCUCUCUUCUUUGCCUCCAUAUGAUCUCUGUGCCUUAUCCUUCCUUCUUUAGAAUAUCUUUUCUCCAAUUGGCUUCUCAAGAUUCUCCUCGAAAUCCAUCCUCAUUACCUCUCUUUUGUUCAACAUUUCUUCCACGUGUCGGUCUCUUUUUGGUCAUUUGGGAUUUUGUUCUUAUUCUCACAUGUUUACUCUAGAUAACAUUUUCACUUACCCUCAAUUUUUUGCUUUUCUUUCUCUCUCUUCAUCUGAAAUUCCCAUCGUUCUCUCGGCUUCUUCAUACCAAGAACUUCCUUCCCUAGAAAUUCACAUAACCACCCUUUUCCCCACUAAAAUCAACCUUUUUUUCAUAAAUAAUCAAUUAUCUCUGUUUUCUUUCUGAUUCUUAGCAUCGUAUCAACCAAUUUCACCGUUUCCCCUCAUUUUCUUCUCCCCAUCAAAACCAUAACCAUCUUUUUCUUUUCUAUUUUCACCCCCUCUUUCUUUUCAUCAAACAUGACAGAUUAGACUUACCUUCAUUUUGCAACGAAUUUGUCAAACCCUUAUUACAUCCAUCCCAAUGAAAACCCAACCCUCAUCCUUGUUUCUCCGCUGCUCAAUAGCAAAAACUACCUAUCUUGAGCUCGUUCCAUGAAGGUCAUUCCCUUUGGCUAUAAAUAGAAGGCUUCUGAGCUCAUUUGAAGAACACUUUAUGUGCCAGCUUUGCCCCCCAUUGAAACCCUCUCAUUCUAAAGGAAAACCUGAGAAAUUUCAAUUUGAAAUUUGAGUUUGAAUCUCAACUGUUGGAGAUUCAAGAACUCCAGGAUCCAAAGUCUUGCAACCUCUCUAAUCACUUCCUGCUAGCUUCUCAAGUAUGAUCAAAUCGUGUUUGGAGCAAGCAACAUCAAGAACUGCAUAGCAUUGAAGGUAAUUUUCAGAAAACUUCAUCUCUUCGAUUCUCACUUAAUUCUACUCAAUUCUUUUGGAUCUUUGGUUGUCUGAAGUCCUACCAAUGUAGGCAAGAAAAUUGAGUUGCUUAGAGGUCAAAUCGAAGCAACUCAGUUGACACACCUCAAAAUUCAACUCCUCAUAUCUUUUUAUAUAUUUGGAGUUAGUUGAAAUUGAGGUCAGAUUCGUGCUUUACGCCAUUUUUUGUCAAAUCGAAGCAACUCAGUUGACACACCUCAAAAUUCAACUCCUCAUAUCUUUUUAUAUAUUUGGAGUUAGUUGAAAUUGAGGUCAGAUUCGUGCUUUACGCCAUUUUUUCUUUCAGAUCAUGUCUUCCUUUUGUAUUUUGGUGAUGGUUAAAGGUGGAUCAGUCCGGUGAGGUCCACCGGAGAAGGAGACCGGAGUUCGGGCUCCGGCAAUGUGUUGGCAUCUCUCCCAGCCAUAGGAUCCAGUUGAUAUGUUUUAAUCCCAGCCAUAGGAUCCUUUUCAAAUAUUUUAAUCUCACCCGUUGGUUUUGAUUACCAUCCCUGCAGCGCAUUGACUAGUGUCCAUUAUGGAACGCGCGCUGAGGACCACUUGAUCUGCCACCUCAAUUAAUGAGGGAGAUCAAGUGGUCCACGUUUUUUUGCUAUUUUCUGAUUUUCAUUUUAAUCCUUUUAUUUUCAUUAAUUCAUAUUAAUUUUAAUAUUGAUCCAAAAAAUAUGAGAGUUUCACCAAAUAAUUUUAAAUAAUUUCCUCUUUAAUAUUUUGAAUUAAAAUUAUUUUUUGGAUCAUUAUUAAUAUUUUUUAUGAUUUAAUUGAUUUUGUAAUUAUUUUUAAUUGUUUAAAAUUACUUUUAAGUCUUUAAAAAUUCAGAAAUUUUUUCUCCGAGGUCCUUUGAUCUUGUUUGACCUAUGAUAAAUCUCAUGGCUAUUUCUUUGGUGUUUUGAUGAGGUUUUAGGAAUUUGACAAACUAUAUUUAAUUUAAAUGCCUUAUUUUAGUAUUUUUAAUUUGAAUAAAUGCCAAAUAAUUGUGUUGACCAAUUGUGAUGACUUGUUUGAGUUUGAAUCUUGUUGUUGGGCCUUGGUCAAGGUUGAUUUGACUUUGUCAAGUUAAUAUCAUCGGAUUUAGGGGAUUGAUGGAAUGUACAUUCCAUCUCCCAAAAUGAAUGGAUGAUAUUAAUUUGGUAAAAGUCCUCCUUUGACCAAUUUGAGUUUUGAUCCAUUCCCCUCCCUCUUCAUCUCAUUCCCUAUUCCAUCUCCCAAAAUGAAUGGAUGAUAUUAAUUUGGUAAAAGUCCUCCUUUGACCAAUUUGAGUUUUGAUCCAUUCCCCUCCCUCUUCAUCUCAUUCCCCUUCUUUAUGCAUUCAUCUCAUUUGACCUAUGAUAUCUCAAAGUUUUAAGGCUAGUUGAUUGAAAAAUCAACAUAAGUAUGGAUGAGAUGAGGUCACCUCUUUUGCAUAUUCUUUUUUAUGUGUGGUAUGUUUCAUAAGCAUAGUCCAUUAUACUAUGUACCUAACAUGCAUUAACACCAAAAUUCUAUUGCCCCGCCUCAAAUAGUUGUGACUUCUACAUAAGUCCAAUUACGAUUACUUAACAUAGCGUUAAAUUUGUGACACAAAAGGCAUAGCAUUCUAGUUAGUGAGAUUGCAAGUCUCCCCUCUUUCAUGGUAUUGUGUGGAAACUUGGCAUUUUUUCCUUCCUUUGGAAGAUGUCUUGACUCAAGGAUCCAUGCUUAUGAUAAGUGGGUUGAGUGUUCUCCAAAGAAUGACUUAAAAUGAAAAGCAAAAGCAAAACAAUACUAACUUCUAACUCAUUAAAAACUAACUUUUAAUUUCAAGCCAUUUAGUUGAAUGUCAUUUAAUUUUAGUCUUUAUUCAUUUGUCAUUAUUCAUACCAUUCUAAUUGUUUAUGUUAAUGCAAUUUUCAGAAACAGGUAAACCUGGUAUAACACACUAUAUAGAACAAACACAUAACUUUGCUUGUUUGUGUGGUCUUUGACCAUUAAUGUACAUAAUAACAACAAAAACCCUAAAAAAACUUUUGUGUGGAUCGUUGGCUUGAUCUUGGACAAUUGGACUUAGAAUCUAGGCAACAUUCCUAUGCUAGAGUACUUGGCCAAUGCCAAUUUUUUAUGUAAACAAGUUCUUGCAAUUUGGAACUUCAUCUGAUACAUCAUUCAAGAUCCCUUUGAGUUCAUCUGCAACAUGAUCAUUGUGAAGCUGUUAUUUUGAACAUGUGACUUGUGAAAUUCAUCUGUUGCAUGGGCUAAUUUGAAGAAGAUCAUGGAGUGGAUAAGCUUGGAUGUGGCUAUCUUUAUUUGAUGCCCUUUCUCUUCAAGAUUGAUAUAAUUGUGCAUUUGUGUGUUACUUAAUUCAAAAUGUCCAAGGGAAUCUGGGUUUCUAUUUACAUUCUUGUCUAUUGGAUUGCUACCCAUUGGUUAGAUCUUUUCAACUCUUAACUUUUAAUGUUGUGCAUAGGAUUAGUCUCUUCAUCUUCUCCCCAUUUCUUAAAUUUCAAAAUCUCUCCCUCCCUUUUUAAAAAUCUUCUUUAUUUGAACUUGUUUUGUUCUAAACUUUGACCACUUUGUAAAAAAUAUAAACUUUGGCCUUAUGCCAUUUCAUUUUCAAACUUCUUUUCUUAAAUCAAAUUUGUAAAUAAACUUAACUAUACUUGACUUAAACUUUCAGAAAAUCCAAAAAGAACUAACCCAUUAAAACCAUUUUUAGGCCUUUGUGCCUUUCAAACUUAAUUUUUGUUAAAAGCAAUGCAUUCACUUUGAAAUUUGUAUCACGAACUACGAGGUUUUGAUCCCUCAUUUUUAUGUUGGUACGUAGGACAGCAAGUCCGAAGGUCUUGUCAAUACAAAAAUAUAAUUAAUGAAUUAUUUUCUCAUCCCCCCCCCCCGCCCCCCCUCAUUCUAUUUGUUUGUAAACAUCAUUUUUGUACCAAAUACAUAUGCACACAAAAAGGGCUCCCUGGGAGUACCUAGGACACUUUGGGUGGUAACACCUUCCCUCUGUGUAACCAACCCCCUUACCUAUAAUCUCUGGCAUUUUAUUAGUUUUAAUUUGAACUUCUUACUUCUGGGUUUUGUUCGUACUUUUCCCUUUUCCCUUGGAAACAAUAAAAGCGCGGUGGCGAAUCUUGUUAUUUGAUGUCUAGCUUAUCCAUAGCUUGAUGAUCAUGAAUUUACCGUUACACCUAUCAUCCAUAGGCAGACAGUUAGAGGGACAAUUAGAGGGAAAAGACUCUAUAAUCCUUGGAAGAUUUGUUAAGAGUAUGUGUUUUAGAAUAAGGAGGUAGUUGGGAUAGUUAUUUAUCAUUGAUUGAGUUUACCUAUAAUAAAAGUUUCCAUUAUAGGAUUGGAAUGUCGCAUUUUGAAGCAUUAUAUGGUAGGAGGUGGUGGACACCCUUGUGAUGGUAUGAAUUCGGUGAGAGCAUUGUGUUAGGACCCAAAGUAGUUCAACACACUAUCGAGAAGGUUAAGAUGAUUUAGGAAAAGAUGAGGAUGUGGCAAAGCCAAUAGAAAAUUUAUCAUAUUAAGCAAAGAAAAUCCUUUGAAUUUCAAGAAGGAGAUCAUGUAUUCUUGAGAGUCACUUCAAUGACUGGGGUUAGUCGGGAAUUCAAGUCAUGAAAGCUUAAUCCUUGUUUUAUGGGUCCUUAUCAGAUUCUUAAAAGAGUCAGCGAAGUUGCCUACCAAGUUGCAUUCCUCUGUCUCUUUCGAAUUUCCAUAAUGUCUUUCAUAUCCCGUCGCAUCUGAUCCAAUCUGAUGAUAUGCAAAUAAGAGAGAGCUUAACUUAUGAAAUGUCGCCCUUGCGAAUUGAAGGUUGAAAGGUAAAACACUUGAGAGGAAAAGAGAUUCCUUUGGUUAAGCCGUAUGGGGAGGAACAAAUGAUGGUAGUGUGAUGUGGGAACUAGAGAGCCAAAUGAAUGAGUCUUAUAUAAACUUGUCUGCUUCAGGUAAAUUUUCCAGUAUGAAAAUUAAAUAUGUGGGGGAGAGUUGUAACACCCUAAAAUUUUAUUCGAAUUUUAUUUUAUUAACAAAUCGAUUUUGUGUGUGUUAUGAUUUUUUUAUUAGCAUUAUUAUUUUGUUAUUAUCAAAGAAAAGAAUUAUGGGAAUUAUCUAGAAAGACUAAAAAUAAAUAGAGUCAGUGGAAGAGGGGUUGGAAAAGUAAAAAUUAGUGGGAGAAGUCAAAGAAAUAAAAUCAUAAUUUUUAAGGAGUUUAAUUUCAGAAUUUUAAUUAUAAAUUAAAAAGGGAGAAUUAGGGAGAAAAACAUAGUACGCGUUCUUUUGGAAGAAAAAGGAGAAAAAUCCCUAGCACAAAAAAGUUCUCUUCUUCUUCUCUAGCACUCCAAAAGAGAGUCUAAUUUCUGAAUAGGAAAAAAAUAAAUAUUAUGCAAGUGAGUAAUUAUAUUAUUGUUAGGAGCUUCGCAAUGAAUUAUGGACUAACAAAGUAAUGGGGAGAUUGUUCUAUGAAUUGGUAUUUUGGCAUUUAUGGUAGUGGGGUUUCCAUUGAACCCCAAAUUGUAUGAGUUUCUAUGUGAAUUUUCCCUAUGAGAUGAUUAUCCAUAAACUUUAUGUUAUGAAUCUCUUUCAUCAUCAUCUAAUCUUCUAGGAUCAUUGCAUGACAGAAUUUUGGGUUGAGUCUUGCAUGAUUGAUUCUAUGAAUUUUCAUUAUUGCCAUGAAUGUGUGUGAAUUUCUGCUUGCUUAUGAUGUUUGAAGUGUUGCUAAUCUUUAACAUAUGGUAUUACAUGAUUAGUAUGUGUUUACCAUGUGUUUGAAGUGAGAAAAACAGGAGAAAUAAGUGAAAAUCAGAAUUCUGGGUGAUUUAAUUCGAAUUAGGGGGCUAUCGUUCAAGUAAUAUGCUAAGAUCAGCGCAGGAUUUCAAUUAUAAUUGGUUUGAUUUGAGUCCAGAGACCUAUGAUUCGAAUCAUAGGGUAAGACUAUGCGAAAAAUUUAGUUAUGUUUGUCAUGAUUCGAAUCAUGAGUUAUGUGACUCGAAUCAUGAAGGCAAAUUAUAUAUAGAAUCAUGUUUUAGUUAUAUCUUGAGUUUAGAAAUUCAGAUUGAGGUGCGGUUAGAUGCGUUAGAAAGCUAAUGCAAAGAACUAUAUUUAUGGAAAAGGAUUCAUGAUGUUUAUAUGUAUGAAUCAUCCUGUGAAUAAUGAAUAUUUAUGCAAAGUCAUGUAUGUUUUAGGACACAAGUCCAAUAUUUUUAUGAAAUGUUUUUAUGAACUAAGUUGUGAGUGAUGGAUUAAUUAUGAGAAUAUACUUAGAACAUGAGAUCAACAUUUGUAAAAUUAAUUGUGAAGCCCUAAUAUAAAGAUUAUGUUGAAGGUUCGACAAGAAUCAAUGUUGAUUAUGUUGAAGGUUCGAUAAGAACCAAUGUUUGAUUAUAUUGAAGGACCGAUAAAAACCAAUGUUGGAUUAUGUUAGAGGUUCAACAAGAACCAGUGUUACAUUAUGUGAAGGUUCGAUAAAAAUCAGUGUGAUAAAUAUGGUUUGGAGGUUUGGAUGAAAUUCAGGUUUAAUUGUUCAUCAUGCAUAAUAUAUAUUAGAGUAGGUGUCGUCUAGCAAGAGUGUGUAGUACGACGUAGCUCGCAUGUGAUCCUAGGCAUUACAUGUUUAUGGACGUCUAGGAGAGUGUUAUAGUAUGGGCAUAACUCGUAUGUAAUCCUAGAAGUAGAGUUUAACAAAGAGUGUUGUAGUGGAUACAUAACUCACAUGGAUUUUGUAGCAGUAAAUUCAAGACCAUCAAGCUAUGGAUAAGCUUAACGUCAAUAAAACCAGAGUCGCCACCGCACUUUAAUUGUUUCCAAAGGAAAAGGGAAAAGCACGAACAAAACCCAAAGAUAAGAAGUUUUCAAAUCAAAACUAAUAAAACGUCAGAGAUCACGGGUAAGGGGGUUGGUUACACAGAGGGAAGGUGUUAGCACCCAAAGUAUCCUAGGUACUUCUAGGGAGCCUUUUUUUAUGUGUGCAUAUGUGUUUGGUAUAAAAGAUGUUUGGAAAACUAGAAUGUGAGGAUGAGUAAAGAAUUCAUUGAUUAUAUUUUUUGUGUUUGACAAGACCUUCGGUCUUGUGCCUACGUACUAACAUAAAAAUGAGGGAUAAAAACCUUGUAGUUCGUGGUAAAAAUUUAAAAGAAGUUGGUGAAUUACUUUUAAUAAAAGUUUAAUAAGAAAAGGCACAAAGGGCCAAAAAUUUGAAUGAAGUUGUUAGCUAUUUUUGUCUUUCUGAAAUGUUAAGUCAAUAUGAUUAAGUUUAUUUACAAAUUUGAUUUAAGAAAAGAAUUUGAUAAUUCAUUAGCAUAAGGUCAAAGUUUCUAAUCAUUAAAACAUGUCUAAGUUUUAAAUCACAAGAAAAGUAAGUAUUUGAAAAGGGGAAGAGAUUUUGAAAUUUAAGAAGUGGGAGGAGAUGAAGAGGCUAUCAUAAGCACAAAUUUAAAAGUUAAGAGUUGAAAAGAUCUAACCAAUGGGAUGCAAUCCAACAGACAAGAAUGUCAUAUAGAACCCCAUUUUCCCUUGGACUUUGAAUCAAGCAAUAAUCAAUAAGCAAUUAACACUAUCCUAACAUCAUGGAGAUCAAGGCAUCAAAUAAAGAUAGCCACAUCCAAGCAAGAAAUUCUCAUAGCUAGCAGUCUUCUUUGUCUUCCCAUGUAUCAGAUGAAAUAUUCCUUGAUCAACUCAGAGCAAAGCAUCAGACACAAGAUUAAAAUAACAAUUAAGCACAAAGGAAAAGUGGCAGAUAAAUUCAAACAAAUCCCAAGGCUUGCAUCAGAUGAAGGCUUAGCUCACAAUACUUCAGUCUCAUAAUGUUGGCAUUGGUCAAGUCCUUUUGCAUAGGGAAUGUUGCCUAAAUCCAAGUCCAAGAGUGCAUAUCAAGAUCAAUAGUCCACAAGAUGUUUUUUAGGGUUUUUGUUGUUAUUAGGUGUUUUAAGGUCCUAAGACCACAAACAAAACAAAAAUACACAAACAAAAUAUACAAUCACAAGAUAUGGCUCAAAUGAGCAAAGUGAAAAUGACAUAAACAUAAACAAGUUAAAUGAAAUGUAAACGGAAAUAAAUGAUAAAUGACUGAAAUUUAAAUUGCAUAAAGUAAAUGACUUAAAAGUAAAGCAAAUAUUAACAAGAAUUAGUCAAAUGUUAGUCCAAAGCCAGUCAAGUGUUAGUGGUGAUUUUUAAUUCUUUAAGUCAUUCUUUGGAGAACACUCAACCAUUCAUUCAUAAGUAUGAAUCCUUAAACCAAUACAUCUUCCCUGAGAAGGGAUCCAACUUGGAUAAUUCAACAAGUAUGCCACUAGCUCCCAUGAAAGGAAAAUGAUGUCACAUUACCAUGCAUAAAGGAAAUGAAUGUUAACCAUAAAUCUUACCAAAUGGAACCUUGUGAAGAACAUGUGCGCAAGUCCCUCAAUUCUUGGCUAAAUGAGAUGAUCCUGGACUUUAUGGAAAUCUGAGAUUAAGGGGAACACCUUUCAUGUUGAGCACUUUUCCAUUUGAAGCUUGGAUCAUGAUGAAUUUUAAGGUGGAAGUUUGGAAAAUCAAACAUAAAUGAAAUUUUUCUAAGUACCAAGUCAAAUGUUCACUUCUUCCACCUUGAAUAACUUUUAUUAUGGGCUUCAAAGUUGUAUCUCUUUCAAACUUAUUCAAUUUGGUCACAAAUUUGAUCUCAUUUGGAAUUGGCAUGAAGGAGUUAUACAUUUUAGAAGUUGAGGAAAAUCUCUUGUUUAAUGGUAAUGGCCCAAAGUGACCUAUAAUGUUUCCUCUUGGAACAUGCAUUUUCAAGUUGAAUUUGAACUUUUUAAAAGAAUAAAAGUUGGAGAGGACAUAUUGAAAUUUAUCAUGAAACUUGGAUGGCCUUCAUCUAAUAAAAAUUGAGCAAGUAUUGGUCCUUGGAAGUUGACCUCCUAACUAGGGUUUAGACAAAAUGACCUAUAAUCUUUCAUCAUAUAAAAUGACUUUCCAAGCAAAACUAGAUAUUGAAUUAAACAUGAAAGUUGUUUGGGAUGUCAUAAAUUGUAAAAGAUAGGGUCUAGUGAACCCCAGUUUUGACCAGUUGACUUUCUCUAGUCAACCACCAUGAACCAACUUGCAAACUUGAAGUUCUCUUGAUCUCUUGGAAUCAUGGAGGAUAAUAUAUGUAUAAUAUGAUUUAAUGUGAAGUAUACUUUGAAAUAUUUGAUCAAAUGUUGAAGAAACUUGCUGAGGAAGUCACACAAGAUACCCAGAUGAAUUAAAGCUUCCAAGGCAAACAAGCUUCAAACUCGUGAUGAAUUCUUGAUUAAAAUGAUAAAUGGAGAACAUGGGGACCCAUAUAUGAUGUCUAGAGUCAAUGUGAACCAUCACUUGAUUUAUCUCCUUGCAUUGAGAGUCUCAAAUCCUAGAUAUGAGCUUGAUGAGGCCUUGGUGGAUGCACACACUACCUACAAAAGAAGUAAAACUAUACAUAGACAUAUUUUUGGUAUCUUGGUUAGUAAACAAAGAAAAAUAAAGUAUGAUACAACCAAAUGUGCUUGGUGACCUCUCCCAAUGCAAACCCAAUGAAUGAGGGGUAAGGAGGAUGCCAGGGUGUGAUCCCAAAUCCAAUGCAUAUGAUUAGGGAUCUUAGGGUCAAAAUUAGGGUCUUACAGCUGCCCUUAUUUAAGGACAUUCUAGCCGAGAAUGUGAAGGUUAAAAUCUUUGUAUCGACUUAGUAGAAUGGACUUAAAUAACAAUAUAUAGAAACAAAUUUUGGUCCCUAAGAGACCUCAUGAUGCAUAUGAUAUGAAUGUUAAAAUAACCCUUGUGGGUAAUAUAUUGCCACAAAGAAAAAGAAUCCGAAGAGACUGAAAGUCCACAGGAGUAUACUGCAUUCCGUAAGGAACACUCACUGGGGAGACAUAGACUCUGGGGGGAUAAAAGCUAUGCGUAGGCCAGGCUAUGACUUGAGAACUGCUGGAGAUACAAAGGGAUUUCCAUGAAAAUAAAUCAAUGGAAGGACUCGGCUUGGGGAACCAGGAAAAUCUGCAGGGGAAACGGGUAGAUCAGGACAAAGUUGAAAUACUCGAAUCAAACAGGAAAAGGCGAUUCCACUAAGGAAAUACGCAUUCAAACUCAACUAGGGAAGAAUGAACUUCAACAUAGGAGUACCAGAGAUAUAUUAUCUAUUACCGAUUACUGGGUAGGAAGAUAAUAUACUCUAACUGAGGGACAUCCGUUACCGAUUAAGGUAAACAUAUCAAGGAUGACUCGCUGAGGAAAAAAAAGUGUAUUCAUUACCGGUUAUUGGGUAAGAAUAACCUACUUGGAAAAAGAUCAAAUAGGAUUUACAAUUGCCAGUUACCAGGCAGAAGACCAAAGAGAGAGUAUAUGUCACUAGUUAAAGUGAACAUAUCGAGGAUAAACUCAAAGGAAGAAUAUUCGUCAUCGAUUAGGAUGAACAUAUCAAGGAUAGACCACCAUGGGAAAGAUGAAGAAUAUCUGUUACCGGUUAGGGUAAACAUAUCAAGGAUGAAUUGUCGGGGAGAAAUAGGAAUUAUAUCUAUCGGUUACUAGAUAGAAUACCAAAGAGAGAAUAUUCGUCACCGGUUAGGAUGAACAUAUCAAGGAUAAACUCAGCAGGGGGAAGUAGGAAUUACAACUACCGGUUACUGGGUAGAAUACUGAAGAGGGGAGAAAAUCCUUCACUGGUUAAAGUGAACAUAUCAAAGAUAGACUCUCUAGGGAAUGAAAUAGGGAUUACAACUACCUUUUUACUGGGUAGAAAACCAAAGAAGGAAGAAUAUCCGUCAUCAGUUAGGAUGAACAUAUCAAGGAUAAACCACCUGGGGAAACAUGGGAACGAAUCCGCCGGGGAAAACAAAGGAAGUAGAUUACAUUUUACCGGGUAUUGGGCAAAAUGUGCUGAACAAUCGAGAAGGAUAUUACCGGUUAUUGGGUAAUAAACUCUUAGGGGACCAAAAUAUCUAUCUAGGUAAUAACUAGAAAGAAACGGCCAAUCAAAGACUCAACCCAAUGAGGAUAUAACUCAAGGAGACUAGUUCCAUCCAGAUAAUUACCUGGGGAGGAAACUGAAAUACUAAUCAUCCAUGAGGAAAUAACUCAGUGGGGAAUGAGAAAGGUUAAACUCUUUCUGCUUAAGGGGAUGACACUCUAAAAUUGAAGGAGGACAGACACAUCAAAUCUGCAUGGGGAGAUAAAAUCACCAAGGCAGGAGAUCAGAAGAAAAAUCAAUGCGAUAAAAUGCUCAAUAAAAUAUCUGAUGUUAUAUGAAUAUACAUGUAUGUGAUUAUGAUUAUGCUGACAAAAUAGCAUAAAUGAUACAAAUAACGAAGAUUUGAAUUAUCACUACAAUACUCGGCUAAUCUCAACAGGAUGAAAACACCAAAUGGAGAAGAUGCUAAGGAUGAAAAUAAAUCAUUUAACUUUGAAUAAAUCAACUCUGGUUGGGGAAAGGCAUGGAGAACAUGCUUCCAAUUUGCUACAGAAAACUCUGUGGGGAGAAGAGAAUAUUAUUGAGGGAAGAUCAACCAAUCAUACCGAGGGUCAAAAAUAUAAACACUGCGGGGAAUUUUAGGUCAACAUCAUAUCAAAUGGGAGACAACCUUGUAGGGGACUAAAAUACACUGCUCAGAAUCCAACACUGCCGGGAAUAAAGGAUCUUCAUAUCACCAGAUGAACUCCGCCAAGGAAUACAAGACAUAAAAAUCUGCAUGAGGAGUUAGGCAAGUUGUCGGGGACGCUAUGACCAAGACCGUCAUAUUCCUCAAUAAUCAUUGAAUUCUUCUCGAAAAUUGUGAAAUAAACCAAUUCCAAGGAAAAGAUAAACGGGUCUAAUUCACACAAAUGAGAAACUGUCGAAGUUAUGCCACACAAUUAUGCUAGUGGGAAAUCAAAUAAGGGUUCCAGAUCUCCAGAGUCUAAUCAAAGAUCACAAAUAGGGGGAUGCAAACAUGAACACCUCAACUGGGGAAUAUGGAUUUGCAAAUGGAAAUGAUCGUCAACUCAACUACUGGGGAUGAUGAAAUAUUCAGGGAGAAACGCAUCAACCAAGCCGGGGAGAAAUGACGAAUUGUUGGCGAAAAAGGUAUUUAUUAAACCAACUACUUAAGGAACACCAAUAAUGCUCCACACUUCAAGACUUACCUGUUCUCAGAUUGCUGUUGACAUUCCUUACUGAAAUCGAUUAGUCUUAUAGUGAUUGUUUUCAUUAUUUAAGAAAAAAAUUAUUAUUAAUUUAUUUUAAAACUAUCAUCAUAAAAAUUCAAUUUUAUUUAGCAGAAGUAAAUAAGAAUAGAAACAAUUGGAUAAAAGCUCAAUUUUAUUUAAUAGAAUGGUAGUCUGUAAGUGAUGAGACUCCAUAGAUAUUUACAAAGUUAAAAAUGGUAAUUUACAUGGAAAAGGGCUACAUUGAAUACAAUGAUAACUACUUUCCCUACUAACUUCAAUAUCCAUUGUGCUUGUCCUUGGUUGAGAAUGAUAAAUCAGAAACAAAUGACUUGCUCAAAACUGCCUCCCAGGAUUAGGAUCAACCGAAUGCAGUUACUUGCCAUAAUCCCUAACUUUUACCUAGAUUGCCCCAAGGUGGGAUGUUCAAUCUACCGGGAUAAAUUUUCUAUUUUAUGUCUCUAAUUUUUUCCUGGAUCUCCCUUUCAGGUUUCCAAUCCACCGAGACGCUCAUUUUUUACCUAACUCGCCCUUUCGGGUUUUCAACUUAGCGAGCGAUACUUUUUUUCUUUUUUAGGCGAAGUAUUUCUUGACUACAUCGGAGUUCACAAGGAGAGUGAACUCUUCACCAUCCAUAGUUGUAAGAAUCAAAGCACCACCUGAAAAGGCUCUUUUAACAACAUAUGGACCUUCAUAAUUAGGAGUCCAUUUGCCCCUAGCAUCAGGUUUGAAAGAUAAAAUCUUUUUGAGCACGGGGUCACCUUCUCUAAACACACGAGUCUUGACCUUUUUAGCAAAUGCUUUCUUCAUUCUUUGCUGAUACAAUUGACCAUGACACAUGGCAGUCAAUCUCUUCUCUUCAAUCAAAUUCAACUGAUCAUAUCUGGUUUGGCACCAUUCAGCUUCAGUCAACUUGGCUUCCAUUAGCACACCCAGUUACGGGAUCUCAACCUCUACUAGGAGCACAACUUCCAUGCCAUAAACAAGAUAGAAAGGGUUUGCCCCUGUUGAAGUGCGGAUGGAUGUACGGUACCCAUGUAAAGCAAACAGGAGCAUCUCAUGUCAAUCUUUAUACAUCACAACCAUCUUCUGGAUGAUCUUCUUGAUGUUCUUAUUCGCAACUUCAACAACCCCAUUCAUAUUGGGUCUGUAGGCAGAAGAGUUAUGAUGUGCAAUCUUGAAGUCUUUGCAAAGAGAUUCCGCCAUAUUGUUGUUCAAGUUCGAUCCAUUAUCAGUAAUGAUCUUACUUGGCACACCAUAACGACAUAUAAUCUGAUUCUUGAUAAACCUUACAACAACUUGCUUGAUUACAUUUGCGUAUGAUGCCGCUUCAACCCACUUUGGGAAGUAGUCAAUAGCCACCAUAAUGAAACGAUGUUUGUUGGAAGAUUUGGGCUCAAUCAUACUAAUCAUAUCAAUUCCCCACAUGGAGAAUGGCCAUGGAGAGGAAAUGAAAUUGAACAGUGUCGAAGGAACAUGAAUCUUAUCUGCAUAGAUUUGACACUUGUGGCAUUUCUUCACAAACUUGCAACAGUCAGAUUCCAUUGUCAGCCAAUAGUAACCUGCUCUCAACAUUUUCUUUGACAUAGCAUGUCCAUUGGAAUGAGUACCAAAGGAAACUUCAUGGACUUCUAUAAUCAAUAAGUCUGCUUCGUGUCUAUCCACGUAUCUGAGCAAAACUAUAUCAAAGUUUCUUUUAUAAAGCACAUCACCAUUGAGGUAGAAGUUUCCAGCUAAUCUUCUUAAAGUCUUCUUAUCUUUCAAAGAUGCCUCAGACGUGUAAAUCUGACUUUGGAGGAAACAUUUGAUAUCAAAAUACCAUGGCUUUUCAUCUUUGGAUUCUUCAAUAGCAAAUACAUGAGAUCGCCUAUCAAGAAGCAUCAUAGUUAAAUUGGGAACUUCAUUCCAAAAUUUCACCAUAAUCAUUGAAGCCAACGUUGCAAGAGCAUCUGCCAUCCGGUUCUCAUCUCAAGGGAUAUGAUGAAACUCAACCUUUGGAAAGAAAGUUGAAAUCCUCCUCGCAUAGUCUCUAUAUGGUAUCAAAUCGGGUUGAUUCGUCUCCCAUUCACCUUUGAUCUGAUUCACAAUCAAAGCUGAAUCUCUAUAGACGUCAAGAUAUUUUAUUUUGAGAUCAAUGGCCUCUUCAAGCCCCAUAAUGCAAGCUUCAUACUCCGCCAUAUUGUUUGUACAUUUGAAAGUUAAUCUAGCUGUAAAUGGGAAAUAAUUGCCUUGAGGAGUAAUAAUCACUGCCCCAAUGCCAUUACCAUAUAAAUUAACAGCUCCAUCAAAUACCAUGUCCCAACGAGAACCAGGUUUUAGCCCUUCUUCAAGCAAAGGUUCAUCAUAAUCUUUCAUCUUUAAGUAUAAAAUCUCUUCGUCGGGAAAAUCAUAUUGUACUGACUGAUAAUCUUCAAUCGGUUGGUGAGCCAAAUGGUCAGCCAAGACACUACCUUUGAUUGCUAUUUGAGAUUGGUAUUCAAUAUCAUACUCAGAUAACAACAUCUGUCAACGGGCGAUCCUCCCAGUUAAAGCAGGCUUCUAAAAAAUAUACUUGAUUGGAUCCAUUUUGGAUAUCAACCAAGUGGUAUGAUUCAACAUAUAUUGGUGCAGACGCUUAGCAGUCCAAGCCAAUGUGCAACAUGUCUUUUCGAGCAUAGAAUACCGAGUCUCACAGUCGGUGAAUUUCUUACUUAGGUAGUAAAUUGCAUACUCUUUCUUUCCAGAUUCAUCUUGCUGACCAAGAACACAACUCAUACUCUCUUCAAGCACAAUCAAAUACAUGAUCAAGGGUCUUCCUUCAAUAGGCGGAGACGGAAUCAGAGGCUCGAGAAGAUAUUUUUUGAUACUAUCAAAAGAUUUCUGACAAUCUUCGGUCUAAUCACAAGACUGAUCUUUCCGAGGAAGCUUGAAUAUAGGCGCACAUGUGGCAAUCAUAUGUGAUAUAAAUCUUGAGAUAUAAUUUAAGCAGCCGAGAAAACCUAUGACUUGUUUCUCAGUUUUGGGCGAGGCAUUUCUUGUAUUGCUUUGACCUUGGCAGGAUCAACUUCAAUACCCUUCUCACUGACAAUAAAGCCCAUCAACUUACUAGAACGAACACCUAAAGUACACUUAUUGGGAUUCAAGCGGAGUUUAUAUUUCCUCAAAUGCUGGAAUAGCUUCAACAAAUGCUCAACAUGUUCUUCUUCAUCACUCAAUUUAGAAAUCAUAUCAUCAACAUAGACUUCAAUCUCUUUAUGCAUCAUAUCAUGAAAAAGAGUGGUCAUAGCUCUCUGGUAUGUUGCAUCAGCAUUCUUUAAACCGAAAGGCAUCACUCUAUAAAAUAAUUUUCCCCAGAGAGUAAUGAAUAUGGUCUUCUCCAUAUCUUCAGGUGCCAUCUUGAUUUGAUUAUGACCGAAAAAUUCGUCCAUAAACGAAAAGACUUUGAAUUUAGUUGUAUUGUCUACCAACAUAUAAAUGUGUGGCAGGGGAAAUCAUCUUUCAGACUUGCUUUAUUCAAAUCUCUAUAAUCAACACACAUGAAAACUUUUCCAUCUUUCUUAUGAAUAGGCACACAAUUGGCCACCCACUGCGGAUACUCGGAGGUAACAAGAAAACUGACAUCAAUUUGCUUCUGCACUUCCUCUUUGAUCUUUACUGCCAUAUCAGGAUGAGUUCUUCUCAACUUCUGCUUGACCGGCGGGCAUUCUGGCUUCAACGGCAAUCUACAUUCCACAAUCUCAAAAUCUAAACCAGGCAUGUCUUGAUAGGACCAAGCAAACACAUCAAAAUAAUCUCGAAGAAGACCAAUCAACUCCUUCUUAGCUUCUGGACACAUUUGAGACCCAAUCUUGACUUCCAUCACAUCAUCCUCGGAACCCAAGUUGAUUAAUUCAAUCUGCUCUUCAAACGGCUAAAUGUCUUUUUCCUCAUGCUCAAGCAAACAGGAUAAUUCAUCAGAUACUUCUUCAUUAUAAAUCUCUUCCUCAGCUUCAAACACAGGGAAAUCAAAGUUUGGAGAGGGAGUAGUGUAAGACCCUAAUUUUGACCCUAAGAUCCCUCAUGGCAUCAUAUCAUUUGCUCAGUGCAUUGCCUCAAGGAUCAUAGCAUGUUUAGCUCCUUAACCCUAGGGUUGGGACUUGUGUGAGUGGUUUGAGACCACCAAGCAUGCUUGUAUUGUAUAUUAUUACUUUUCUUAUUUUGAUUACUAACCAUAAGCACAAAAGUAUGUCACUAACUCUUUUUGUUUUGAAGCUCAAGUGAUCAUGUGCUCCAAUGCUCCUAGGAGGCUCCUAAGCUCAAUGAAGUGGCUAGAUGAAGAUGAGAAUAAGCAUGACAAUGGUCCACAAGCUCUAUCAUCAUAUAUGUCUCCCAAGUAUCUCUAUUUGCCAAUUUGAUCAAGAUAACCCAAAGGGCUUGAGGAUUGUUUCCCAAAGAAACUCUAAUUCAAACUGUGCUUUGACUGUGCCUUGCUUAUGAAGCCUUCCUCACAUGGUGGAUUGUUGGUUUAGGUUGAGUUUUCUCCCUUUGAUAACAAAAGACCUUAAGGCUUUUGGUCAAUCAAUUCACCAAUCUUUUGAGAUUUUUACCCCGAACUACGAGGUUUUGAUCCUACCUUUGUGAUGGUACGUAGGCAAUGGGUUCAUCCAUUCAAACAACAAAAAUCUGUAAAUAUAAUCUAUAUUAUUUUCUCAUCCCCUCCAAUCUUUUGCACAUAUUUUCAAAAAUACCAACCUACAACGCAUAUUUGCAAAAAGGAUUCCCUUAGAGUACUAAGGAUGUUUUGGGUGCGUAAAACCUUCCCAUUUCAUAACCAACCCCCUUACCCAGAUCUCUGACAUUUUUAUUAGUUUUUGAUUUGAUAAAACUUCUUACUUGGCUUUUGUUCGCUUUUUUUUAGCCUUUCCUUUGGACAAAUAAAAGUGCGGUGGCGACUCGAAUUGUAUGUUUACUUUUGGUUUAGUCAAUAAACCUAAAGGUAACGAAAACCCCGCUACAGAAAAGUGGCGACUCUGCUGGGGACUCUUUCUCUAGUAGGUUUAGCCUACUUUUUGCUUAUGUGUGUUGUAUAUUGAUGACAUAUUUUUGUGCAAAUUUGGGAUGACUGUAUUGUUUGUAUUGUAUGAAUUGCUUGAUAUAUUAAUUGCUUGUAUGCUUGGUGGUUUCUUGUGAGAUGAGUUCUAUACCCGAACUCGAGUGCACUUAUGAUAGGAGAAUGACAUGGUCUUGUUGACUUGUGUGGAGUUAUUCCUUAGCAAGUUGACUUGCAAGCCCAUUCACAUGGUGGAGGUCUUCUUGGGAUCAAUAAUGUCACACGAGUAGUCGUGGUUAGGCAUUACUCUUUCCAAUAUAAACCUUAGAAGCCAAGGACCUUAGAUACCUAGCCCAUCUUGGCCUAUUUUAGGAAGUAGUGCGAAGGUCGUUUGUCACACGAGUAGUCGUGGUUAGGCAUUACUCUUUCCAAUAUAAACCUUAGAAGCCAAGGACCUUAGAUACCUAGCCCAUCUUGGCCUAUUUUAGGAAGUAGUGCGAAGGUCGUUCAAGUGUAAGACUUGAGGCGAUUGUUACGCGAUACUACACUCAUAAGAGUCCCUCUUGAGAAUAUUUUUGGAGAACGAGUAGUCGUUUUUUCCGAUAAUAUCCGAAAGAUGAGAUGAUAACUAUGGGGACCUUUUUAGAACAUGAUUGUCAGGUUUAACCAUAGUACACUCCCAUUUUGGUGGGUCUUAACCAAGACUUCAUGCUCGUGACUUACAACAAACCCGUGAUUCGCGGUUGAUCCGUUCUCAUACAUUCUCAAUAUCAAUGGAACUUGGGUGUUGAUAAGGUGUAAACCAUAAUCCACCAAAAUGGAUGAUUGAUAUUGACAAUGACUUGAGUUAUCCCGUGACCUUUGUGUGGUGUGACUUGCUUGAUCCUUGAGUGUGAUUGUUGCAUCCAUGCGUUCAUGCAUUCAUUUGCAUCCAUAUCAGCAACAAUAAAGAAUUUUCAAGGAACUUAAGAGGUUUAUUUGCAAAUUUUUAGACAUGGAUAAGCAAAGAAGGAAUACGAAGAAGUACAGUUUCAGACAACCCGACUUGAAAGAGUUAAGGAGUUUGACAUCUUAUGUAUUAGAUCCCUUGGAGUUCAAAGCUUUAUUUGCAAAUUUUUAGACAUGGAUAAGCAAAGAAGGAAUACGAAGAAGUACAGUUUCAGACAACCCGACUUGAAAGAGUUAAGGAGUUUGACAUCUUAUGUAUUAGAUCCCUUGGAGUUCAAAGCUCUCCAUAGGAAGCUUCUGUCUAUUCUUUCUACCAAGGUGGAUGAAGGUUUGAUGAGUAUGUUGGUACAGUUCUAUGAUCCUUUGUAUCGGUGCUUCACUUUUCCGGAUUUCCAGCUUUUGCCUACAGUUGAGGAGUAUGCCUAUCAUAUGGGUAUACCUAUUCUUGAUCAGUUGCCAUUCAGUGGUUUGGAGAAGGUUUCGUCUUCUCAAGAGAUUGCUGAUAUGAUUCAUAUGGAUGUAUCUGACAUUAGUGCCAAUAUGACUACCAAAGGUGGAAUUCAAGGUCUCCCAUCUGAUUUUCUCAUUGCCAAAGCUACUUUGUUUGGGAAGGCCAUGAGUAAGGAAGCUUUUGAAGCCAUAUUUGUACUACUCAUCUAUGGGCUAGUGUUAUUUCCCAACAUCGAUAAUUUUGCGGAUGUGAACGCUAUUAGGAUUUUCUCUUCUCUUAAUCAUGUUCCGGCUCUGUUGGGUGACACUUAUUUCUCUUUGCAUAUGAGGAAUACAAAGGAUGGUGGUUCCAUUGUGUGCUGUCUGCCUCUGUUGUACAAAUGGUUUAUUUCACACUUGCCUCAGACGCUUUCCUUCAAGGAGAACAAGGGAUGUCUACGGUGGUCCAUGAGACUUAUGUCUCUCACUAAUGAUGAUAUCUCUUGGUAUAGUCGUGUUUAUGAUGGCGUUCAGAUUAUUGACUCUUGUGGUGAGUUCUCCAAUGUGCCUCUUCUUGGUACAUGUGGUGGAAUUAACUAUAAUCCCGCUUUGGCUCGCCGUCAGCUUGGGUUCCCCUUAAGGGAUAAACCUAACAACAUUGUGUUGGAAGAUUUAUUCUUUCAAGAGGGUAAAGAUCCCCAAAACUUGAAGGAUAGAAUGGUCCGCGCCUGGCGCAAAGUUCAUAGGAAAGGGAGGAAU
rnacentral:lncRNA from 1 species